rnacentral:rRNA from 1 species
UAAUACGUAGGGGGCAAGCGUUGUCCGGAUUUAUUGGGCGUAAAGAGCUCGUAGGCGGUUCCGUAAGUCAGGUGUGAAAAAUCUGGGCUCAACCCAGUGGAGCACCUGAUACUGCGGUGACUCGAGUCCGGUAGGGGAGUGUGGAAUUCCUGGUGUAGCGGUGAAAUGCGCAGAUAUCAGGAGGAACACCGACGGCGAAGGCAGCACUCUGGGCCGGUACUGACGCUGAGGAGCGAAAGCAUGGGGAGCGAACAGGAUUAGAUACCCUGGUAGUCCAUGCCGUAAACGUUGGGCACUAGGUGUGGGACGGAGUCAACCCGUUCCGUGCCGUAGCUAACGCAUUAAGUGCCCCGCCUGGGGAGUACGGCCGCAAGGCUA